ACCCGAACGUAUGAUGGUGGGCACCAGACUCAGCCCUGAUAGGGUUAUUUUUAUCCUUUCAAUUGAGAGGAUGUAAUACUCUGGGAACAGGGGAAGGAAAUGCCCCACUGUUCCGUCUUAGCUCCAGAUCUGAUUUUUUGCACGCGGUCUCUGAGCGGUGAGGUUCUGGUGCAGGCUGCCCGGAGAGCUCUGAGUGCCCCAUCCCUGGAGGUGCUCCAUGCUGGGUUGGAUGGGCCCUGGGCAGCCUGAGCUGCUGGGGACAACAAGCCCACAGCAAGGAGUGGGCUUUAAGCGUGGGCUCCCUUCCAACCCAAACCAUUCUUUGAUUCUUUGAUUCUAUGAUUCUAUGACCAGUGGACUUUGAGCUGGACCCUCAAAAGCAGCUCCACAUCCUCUAAUGAAAUGGUCCCAUAAACUGCAGAAGUGCUGAGCUACCCAGGCUGAGCAGCCCUGGAAUACGUGCAGGCAGCAUCUUCCAAUGGCAGUUACUCUUGCACCUUGGAGUUUGGCAAGCACUUCUUUUUUUUUUUUAGGAGAAAAAAAUAAUUAACCUUCAAUUCAGGUCCCAGCUCGCAUAACCACAGAUAGAUUCGACUAAUAAUUUGCUUGCUUAAGUGACUCAUAAUAAACACUGUGCGUUUACUUUUGCUUUGAGAGCAGCUGAUCUUUGGAACAAACUGCCACAGGCGUAAAAUCAUGUCACCCAUUUGCUGGUUUAACCCUCUGAGUGCACAUGCGUCUCCUGGCUCUGCUAAAUUGCUUCUUGUGGGAAAGCAAGGAGUCUGCAGGCAGUGGAGAAAGAAGGUUUUGAAGGACCUACCACCCUGCAGGCUUCUUAGCUGGCUGUGAAGUGGGAACCAGCUGCAGUCUUCUACCAAAUCCAUUGUUCCCCAACUCAAAUUAGCAGAGAGAAAUCCCAGCCACAUCCCUAAGGUCACUGACAGGAGGAGCAGAGUGCAAAAUUGCAGGACAAUGCAAGACUUGCAACUUCACGAGGCUUGACAGCUAAGGUGGCUUUUGCCCACUUUCAUGUCACUGGGGUACAACUUCCUGGGUUUCUGCUGCAUGGGGAACAUAGUGGGUGUUUCUCAACUCUGACUUAAUCCACUGCAAGCCAUUCCAAGGGCCUGUCCCAGGGAAUCCUUUCUAUUCUGAAUUUGCUGUCUAAGCACCCUCCUUAUGUCAUUCACAGGGUACUUCUAAUUCUUCUGCCUCCUCACUCCACCGUCGAAUCCUUCGUCAUUUUUGCAACUUCAUGCGUCUCAAUUCUAUUCCAGGCAUGUCGAAGACCUCCUCAAAGGGCA
rnacentral:lncRNA from 1 species